rnacentral:rRNA from 1 species
CGCGUGGGUAACCUGCCCUAUACACAUGGAUAACAUACUGAAAAGUUUACUAAUACAUGAUAAUAUAUAUUUGCGGCAUCGUAGAUAUAUCAAAGUGUUAGCGGUAUAGGAUGGACCCGCGUCUGAUUAGCUAGUUGGUGAGAUAACUGCCCACCAAGGCGACGAUCAGUAGCCGACCUGAGAGGGUGAUCGGCCACAUUGGAACUGAGACACGGUCCAAACUCCUACGGGAGGCAGCAGGC